GCCAGGCAUGAUGGUGCAUGCCUGUAAUCCCAGCUACUUGGGAGGCUGAGGUGGGAGAAUUGCUUGAGCCUGGGAGUUUGAGGCAGCAGUGAGCCGAGAUCGAGACACUGCGCUCCAGCCUGGGCAAUAGAGUGAGACCCUGCCUCCA
rnacentral:SRP_RNA from 1 species